rnacentral:lncRNA from 1 species
CAUAUACUUAAUCAUGUGACUUCUAAAUCAAUCUCUUCCAUACUUUAUGAAUUAUGGAUAGGUAGAAAACCUGACUUAAGUACAAUCUUGGGGGUCUGCUGCCUAUAUAUAUUCACGAUCCUUCUCACAAUUACGAAUAAUUGGGUCUAAAAGAAAAAUAGUGUAUUUUUAUAAGAUAUCCCAAACACUCCAUUAUAUAUCUUUUUCACCAAAUUCAUUUACUAGAAAAGCACUACG